rnacentral:rRNA from 1 species
CGGGUGAGUAACACGUGAGCAACCUGCCUUUCAGAGGGGAAUAACGUUUGGAAACGAACGCUAAUACCGCAUAACAUUGGGAUAUGGCAUCAUGACCCAAUCAAAGAUUUAUCGCUGAAAGAUGGGCUCGCGCCCGAUUAGGUAGUUGGUGAGAUAAUAGCCCACCAAGCCGACGAUCGGUAGCCGGACUGAGAGGUUGAACGGCCACAUUGGGACUGAGACACGGCCCAGACUCCUACGGGAGGCAGCAG